UCGUGGUCUUAUUUGAAUUGACACUCAUGAAUUACUUACACCUACUCCUUCUAGUUAGUCUAUUCCAGUAUACGAUAUAAGACAGCAUUAUAAAUUAUAGUUAAUAUAUCCUAAAACAAGAACACAACUUUAUUGAUUACCGGUAUACCAUUAUUCCAUCAUUUAACAUUACUCUACUAAAAAUCAGAAAUUCUUUUUGUGC
rnacentral:lncRNA from 1 species